AGCUUGGCGAACUCCUUGAGGACAUGGGCUUUGUUUUCUGUUCCAUUUUACCCUCCACUGUGCCUUCGCAGUCCUGGAAGAGUCCUCCCUUCCACCCCGGAUAUCACUGUGAACCUAUGGGACCUCAUCUUGUGAUCGGGAUUCCCCAGGAUCAACCAUCUGAGCAGAUACCUUGGAAUGUCCCCAGAUUUCAGACAGUCUGUCAACUUGGGCGUGCAAACAACCAUCCUAAGAGCCUUUCUUGCUCUGAUAGGGAGAAAAAAAGGCUUCGGGGGCUACCAGAGGAGAAGAGGCCAUCGCCUCGGACCAGCAGCAACACACUCUGAAGUAGGUCUCAGAAGACAAAAAGCUGAAAUCAACUCAUGCUUCCUGCUACACAGAAUCCACUGAGAGGAAAAGGAAACUUCACCGAAACUUCAGAAAGCUACAGAAAUGACAUCCAUUUUCACAAUCCCAGAAGGAAAGAUGCAUCUGAAGGGAAUAAAAACAGAGCAAUGGAAGAGUAUUUGUUAAAAUAAAUGGCUUUGACAGGGC
rnacentral:lncRNA from 1 species